AGGAGCUGUCCAGCCACUUUCUCUCUACUGAAGACAAAAGUUGUAUUCAAUAAUCAUUAACAAUACGAGCAGGAGAAACUACAAUCCCAAACAAGGAUGAGCAGGGGUUAAAGACCGACCUUGGUUCCUAAACUUGCCAGUGAGGCUUUGAUGUUGAACAUGAGAUUGGAGGAGAAGCAGAAGGGGAAAGUGCUGUGGCUAGGCCCACAGAGAAAGGCUGUGUGAGGACACAGUGAAUUGGCAACCAUCUGAAAGCCAGGUAGAGAGAUAUCAAAGAGGAUCAAAUCCGUUGGAACCUUGAUCUUGGAUGUCUCUCCUUUAAAACUGUGAGAAAAUAAAAUUUUGUUG